ensembl:lncRNA
CAGGAAUGUUACAAGUCACGUUCAAAAUGUACUUUUCAUUAUUUUCAGAUGUACAAGUUUCCGAAACAAAUACAGCUCCUACCAGCAGCUGAACAAUGGCACACAAGAGAACCUCAGUCUGCCUCCAGACGAAAACCCUGGCAAUGCCAAACCAGAAACCAAGCCAAAGAAGGCUGUGAAGAGGAGAACUAGGAAGAACCUGAAGGAUGGGAGCACUGGCAGCUGGUCUACAGACACUGAAGAUCCUGCUUGUACCAACGUGAAGAAGAACGUGAAGGCAAGGAAGCCCAAAACACGCAAGAGCCAAUCCCAUCAGACAAAAGACAUCAAGGACACUGCCAAUGAGAGAGAGGACAGCAAGGCUCCAGCAAAUCACAGAGAUGACAGCAUGGCCCUGGUUAAUGAGAGAGAAGACAGCAAGGGGUCAGGGUUCACAGGUGAGUGCGAGGACCUAUCUCUGUCUGGCCCAGAGAGCAGAACACACCAGAAAAAGACCAGACAAGUUAAGAAGACCCCAGAGAAAGACAAAGACAAUGCCAAGACCCCACAAAAAGAGUCCAAUAACAGAGUCAACAUCCCUGAUUCAUUGCAGGAUGAGGAAGCUCUGAGUAAGCAGAACGGGAAGAAAAAUAAGGAUUUGGGAUCAAAUGGGAAAAGCAGAAAUGGGGAAAGACUGAAGGACUUCUAUGAAGAAUGUAUGGAAAUGAGCACUGGUCUGGACCUGAGCCCAAACAAACAGCACUGGUUCAAGGCAAACAUACUGGAAAGGCGGCGUCUGGAGAAGAAGUUGUCAUCUUGUCCCAACCCCUCGGGCUCAGAUGUGGAGCUAAGUGAGGAGAGUGACAGUGCUCUGCACCCUGACAGGCAUCCAGGGUACCAGGACCGAGCUGUACUCAACACGAGUAAAACACACAUCUCAAUGAUAGAACAAGACCUACAGGCCCAGCUGGAUGUGAUGAUGCAGGUGUUGAACACGUCUGACGAGGUGGAGCAGCUGGUGCUGAGGAACACUGGCUUGACAGACGCACUCCUACUGAGCCUGGCCGCAGCCCUGAAGAGGAGCGCCUCGGAGGUCACAUUCCUCAAUCUCAACCUCAACCACCUCGGACCCCAAGGGGCCCACAUCCUCCUGGACCUACUGGGGGCCAAGCCCCAGGUCAAAGGACUGCUCUUGUUUGGAAACCAACUGGGAGACCCUGGAGUUCUGACACUACUUAGUGGACUGGCUCAACUCCAGGAGAUAACAACGAGACACCCAACAUCACUACCAUGGAUUGAAGAUCCCCAGGUCCAGGGCCAGAACCCGUUAACACACUCAGGUGUCCCCCUCCCUCCAACUACAAGGGGCACUCUCUACCCCUUUUCACUUUUGGAGCUGGACAUAGGAGGAAACGGGCUGAGCAGCAAUGGCCUGAGGAUGUUGACAUCCUACAUGAGACUCCACUCAAGACUGCAGUACCUGGGGCUGGCCCGGACCACUGGUGCGGACCUAGAGGCAUGGCGGGAGCUGUUUGACUCUCUGAAGGGAAACGUGACCCUCAGCCAUAUUAUCCUGGAUGAGAGUAACCUAGGAGACCAGGGAGCCAGGCUAUUCGCUGACACGCUGAGAGCCAAUCAGAGCCUGAGGCAGGUGGAUCUGGACAGUAAUGGGAUUGGUGAGGUGGGAGGAAGUGAAAUCAUAGAGGCGCUGCUUUGUAGGACACAGUUUCCGCUGAGACACCUGAGUCUGGAGGGGAAUGGUAUCAGCACCGGACUAAUGGGUAGAAUUCAACAGGAAGUGAGAUUUAACUGACAGAAACAUGUUUUUAUUUAAUUUAAUUUUUUACAUAUUACAGAACUGGAAUUUAUCCAAACUGAUGAACAAGGUAGGGCACAGCGCAUAGCACAAAAGAGGAACAGUCAAAAUAGAUGUUGUGGAAAAGACUAAAUAAUAUGGAUUUGUCUGACUAUUUCUACACAAGAUCAGCAUCUAGCUACUGUACACGAGACUAGACUAUUCCUCACUGUUAAUAAAUUACUUCUCACAUCUAUGUUGAAUCAUCUCAAUUGUAGCUCAGUCAGUGUAAAUUGCAGGUCAGUGGAAUAAAACUGGAAAAACAUUUGACUCUCUUUGCCAACUCACAUGGAGGGCCUUUCCCUCUGCUACUGGUGGCCCUGAUUUAAAUAUCUUUGUAGAGCUCACAGACAUGGCCAUCAGCUCAGCAGGUAGGAGUGCGUUGGGAUUUAGCUAGGCUGCUCUGCGGUAUGGAUGAGACGUCAGAGAAAAGCCCUGUAAAGUAAGUCUUUCUUCCCAGAACCUGUGGUGAGGCCAGGCCAGGAUGUUUACCUUGUGCUAUUUUCUUCCCACCCUGAUUUAUUCACAAAUGCUGCCCUCAGGACCACACUCUCCUCCUUGUUGACGCUUGUUAUUCCCUAAAGUUUAGUAUUCCCCUGGAAAAUUUGGAGAAAUAUCCAUAUCUCGUAACCAUGGUGAUGCAAACAUGAAGUGGCACAAUUAAACAGUACUUCCUAUUAGAUACUAAUGUAAAAAUGUAUUUCUACAGUAUCUACUGUAUUUUUUUUUAAAGGCAGGAAUGAAGAAAAUCGAAUAAAAAAAGAAAUAUAUCCAUCACAUAAUAUAUCCAUAAUUGUGUUGACAUAAUGACCAAACGUGUUUUGCGUGUGUUUGUGUGUGUCAAUGGAGAGCGAGAGGAAGAGAGAGGGAGAAAGAGAGAGAGGGAGAAAGAGAGGGAGGGAGAAAGAGAGGGAAAGACGGGAGAGGGCAGGGAGUUCUUCCAAGAUGCAGGAUGUUUGGUUUCAGUAGGAAAUGCACUUGACAGAGCAGCCUUAGGUGGACUGAAGGUGGAGUCAUAAGAAACACACAAAGUCGCUUGUCUCUUCGAGUGAAAUGAGAUGGUGGAUAGUGGGAACAUGAAGACCCUGUAAUACAACAAUUUUGCCCAAAAUAAGCUGCUGGUUCAAAUAUACCUUUUUCUUUCCUAAAAAAAAGACACAAUGCUUUUAUUAUAUGAGGAUCAAGAUUUGAGGGGAAAAAGUCACAUACAUGUGGGAGUGUUCAGAGGGGCACACAUUUAGAAAUGUUAAGUAGAGCAUUUGGAUAUGCUUUACAUUAUAGGGUGCUAUUUACAUGGUAUUUACCUCGAAAUUACACUUUAAAAUGGUAAUUACUCAAUAAUUACCAAAUAACUACUUUUAAGUGAUAUUUGAGCUUAAUGGACAUUAGGUAAAUAAAGACUUGCAAAACUUUUUUUGCACGGCACUAACUGUUUACUGUUUACAGUGUGGUAGAAUUUUGUAAAACUGUAUCUUCUAUCCUCUCUAUCUAAAUCUGAAAUGUACACUAUACACCAUAUUUGAACCUUUUAACUGUCUCUUCUUGAAAAACAUGUUCAGAAAAAAUAUUUCAUCUUAAAUUCCUGUAACUAACAACUCAAAUAAGAACUUCCAAUAAAAAAAAAGGUCUACUUGAUGUUUAUUUUGGAAAUAACAGAGCUCUAUAAGACGGUUGAGAAGUCAAAAGAGGGUCAUUCCAGCAAUGCCAUAAUAGAAAGUCAAUUUGCGUAGCCUUUUUACUAAUCUCAACAAUAUUACAGAAAUUACUUUAGGUCUGCGUCAAUGGCUUAUAGGUAGGUAAGCAUGGUUAAAUAAGGACUGAUGUCAAAGUUGAACAAAUGAGGGUAAUUUUGUAUGUCCAAACAUAUUAGAUUACAUUGAAAUGAAUGCAUUUCCAAGUGGUGUAUAGUGCAAUGUCCCUCAAAAUGGUUUUCUUAAAUUUCUAAUGAUCCAGACUACAUUUUUAGAUAAAGUGCAGUUUUGUAUUACUAUUCUAUCGGCAUUAUUUUAUAGCCCACCUUCAGUCUGAAUAAUAAUUAAUUGACUCCGUGGGUCAUGAAAUGUGGUUUAACCUAUUUAUGUUGCCUAAUGUAGUGUUGUCAACAAUUCAAAUCAUAUUUUUCACUAAAAUAAAAAAAUGUAUAUAAACAAUAAAUGUAGCCUAUUCUUAGUCCGCUGUACUUUCUACUCACAUAUGAACCGCUUGGUUGAGC